GCUAGGCUGACGCCACGGCACUCUAGCCUGGGCAACAGAGUGAGACUCUGUUUCAAAAAAAAAGGGAUCUUGAUGGAGCUGCUGGUGCCCUGGGGGCCUCUCCCCACCAGCAGGUGUGGGCUGCUUCCCUGCACCUCGAGCCGGGGAAGAGGAUGUGCAAGGAGACCGCUCAGCGUGCCCGAUACGUGGGCCCUGCUGUCUGGGGGUCAGGACAGUGUCUGGCUCCCACUGGAAGGAGUCACUGCAGGAGGGCAUCCGCCUGCCCGGGCUCUGUGAGCCGAGGACCUGCGCGUGCACCCCAUGGCCCGGAGGAUGACCUGCCCAUGAGAGCCAGACUCACCUGGGCGGGGGGUCAGGGAACAGACCACAGAAGGGAGCAGCUUUCCACGUGUCACUGCGAGAUUCCUCGGGAAGCGUCUCCGGCUGGAAUGAAGAUGAACCCACCUCCGCCGGGAACUGCAGGUUUGUUUCUGGGGAGGGACAGCUGUGUGCAAUGGGCGUGACCCACAGCAAGAGCGCGAGAAAUGCAAGUGGUCAUUGGCUCCCUGGUUGCAAGUCCCAUGCUUACGAGUGCGCUCCGCGCCCGAGCGGAGAACUGUGCCGUGGCCAGUCACGUUUUCGCCAGUGUUUCUCCCAAAACCCUCAGAACCUGGAGUCAGUCUGCAAGAGAGCCGGCGCUAGCCAGCAGUCUUCACUGACGUUCCCGUGCAGGCUGCCCUCUCACCUGGAGUUUUCGAUAAAGCGCUCCGUCUCUUUAGUAGGUGCGGGCCAUCCAGGUUUUCUACUUCUUCUGGGGUCAGUUUUGCCAGAGGAGCCGGCAACGUGUGAGUCAGGAGCAGGAUCAGCAAACUCGACCCAGUGAAAGGCCAGCAGUUCCUGCCGCAGCGCUCGGCUCUGUUUAUGGCGGGAGAGCCACCACAGACGAGACCCGGUGGGCAAGCUGGCCGCCUUCCAGUGGAACUUCACUUAUGGACUCUGCUAUCUGAGUUUCGAGUAAUUUCCAUCUCAUUUUCAAAUGUCACAUAGCAUGAGAUUUUCCCAACCAUUUAGCUAUGGAAACACUGGUCGUAGCUCGCGGGCUAUAAAACCAGUGGCCAGGCUGGAUGUGGCCCUCGGGCGUGGUCCACAGACCCCUGCCCGGAGCCCGGUUGCCACGGCCUGGCUGGGGCCGCUUGCUGCCCCGUGCAUGACCUGCCAGGCCACAGCAAGGUUGCAGAGUCUAGAACUGGAAUGAACCCAAUGCACAGUUUUAUAUUUUCCUAAGGUUCUAGGAUCAAAAAUACUCCUUUUGAGCUGAUUUGAACUAGAAAGAAACUGAUAGGUUUUCUAGAGCUUUUGCUGGGAGCUUCCUGCUGCUCCCCGAACUGUACCUGAACCGAGUCAGUCCUGCUGGCGCCCCUGCAUCCCGGCUUGAGGCCGGUGCGGGGCCCAGGACUGACUUGGUUGCCAGUAUUGAACGUCCCACAACCCAGAGCCCCUCAGUCCUGGGCAAAUCAGGGCGGUUGGUACCUUUGAGGUCCACAGUGGGCUGGAGAGAGGCCUGCCUCCUCCUGCCUCCGAACAAACCACUGUGUGUGUGUGAGUCCGUCUUCCGAGAGCAGAGUCUGGGAAGGAGAUGAGGACCAAGCAGCUCUGAGGGCAUCUGGGGAAAGAAUGUGCUAUCAGUGGGAACAGCAUGUGCAAAGGCCCUGAGGUGGGGAGGUGCUCAGCACCCACAGGUUGCCGAGAGAGGGUCAGCAGGCAGUGAAUGCACAGUCAACAUUAGGGCGUAUGGAACAGGUCACCUCGGGCUCCCACAAUGGCCCCAGAGAGCCCCUCUCCUCGUCUCCCCACUGCAAGGAGUCAUUUUCUCCUUGGGAGCCCAGUUCAAAGGUUUCCCAAAAUAUUGUCAGGAUUCCAUAAAAGCCAAAGCGCCAGGCUGCCAGUGCAGGAAGAUGGGGACAGCUUGCCAGUUAUCAACCGGAGAUAAUUAAAUCAUGAGCUGACAACAGUUCCCCCGGGACCCGGCAAGCUUGCCUCUUCCCUCCGCAGGUCUGCCGCCCGCAAUGCAGAGAGGGAAGUGGGUUUGCCCCCUGGAGAGAGACGGGAAAGCAAAACAGUCCUCAUCACAGAAAAGCAAACGAACCGUAAGGAGCCAGUGCCCAGGCCUGAGCGGAUUUCCGCAUCUGCAGGAAAAUGCCGUCCGUCGCCAAGGAUGGGACGUGCUUCGGGGCAGGUCUCUGCACGGCGAGGCCUCGCCCCGGCCACCUCUGGCUCCGGGGAACAGCGUGGUGCCCACGGUCCGGGGCUCUUGCCGGUUGCCACAGCUGGCGUCCUAGUGGGUGACACCGUGGGCUUUGUGCGAGCGGCAAGGCCUUGUUUCACAGCCCCUCGGCUCCAUGAUGCAAGUGUCGGCACAUUUCGCAGACGAGGAACCUGAAGUUCAGAAAGGUCUCAGAGUACGUGCUAAAGCCCAGCGGCAGACCCUUGUUUUGCCAGCAUCGGACCCAGGCUCUGGCCUUCUCUGUGAUCCUCCCCGUGUGGCCCGGAUCCCCUCGGGAGCCCUGGGCUCUGGCCUGAGCUGGGUGCUGAGGGCAGCGUGUGCAGCCCCGUGAGGUUUCUUCGCCCUACCCCUGCCAACUUCCUCUGUGAGUCCCUGGGAGCAACUGUGCUGAGGAGUAAGGCCAGGGAGCCUCCCAAGCACAACUUGCGUGGGUGAGAGCUCAGGAAUGGCUUGAUCAAGGCUCCUUGGGCGCCUUUUCUGAUUCUCCCACCGGCGUCCUGAAGGGGCACUCCUCAAAGUCUGCUUUGUACCUUCGAGUGUCACGUCAGGAGCAGCGAUGGUGUGACGGAACACAAGCGUGACUCAGAGUCCUACUGUAUUGGAACCAGACCUUGGGGUCAAGUCCUGUCUGCUACUUCCUGGCUUUAUGACCUUGGGGAAGGUACUUUCCCUCUCCUGGGCUUGGUUUCCUGAUCUGUAAAAUGGGGCUAAGAUCAGCCCCCGGGUGCUGUGAGAACGCAGUGAGUGAUCUUGCAGAGAUGCUUGCCCGGGCCCUGGUGGUGGAGUUGUGCGCUGUGACCUCAAGCCCGACCCGGCCACGGACAGGGGCUGCUGUGGCUGUGGCCGGUCCCUGCACAGAGCGGAAGGGCGCCCGUCCCACGGAGGCAACCACCAGGAUGGGCUGCAGAGUUGGGGGGCCCAGAGCAAAGCGUAACGGGAGGCCCUUGUUCAGAAAUAAUUAAGACUCCCAAGACAGCAACAGAAGAGCAUUAGGGCAAGGACGGGCCCUCAGUAGCCCCCCAGGAGCCGAGGCCGGGCACGCAGACGGAAACCCAGACUGC